AUGCUCAUUUUAUCAGCACGUAUACUAAAAUUGGAACGGUACGGAGAAGACUAGCAUGGCCUCUGUGCAAGGAAGACAUGCAAAUCUGUGAACCAUUCCGUAUUUUA
ensembl:snRNA U6 U6 spliceosomal RNA